rnacentral:sRNA from 1 species
UUGCUAUCUGCGAUAUGGAAGAUUCGAACCUGCCGCAGGUUCGGGUCUCACGUAGUGAAACAACGGAGCCGCUUGCGGCGACGGCCCGAAGGGCGAGCAAAGCGAGUCAUCCUGCACGACCCACCA